UACGAGGGGGGCUAGCGUUGCUCGGAAUCACUGGGCAUAAAGGGCGCGUAGGCGGCUUAUCAAGUCAGGGGUGAAAUCCGGCAGCUCAACUGUCGAAGUGCCUUUGAUACUGAUGAGCUCGAGGGAGGUAGGGGUAUGCGGAACUUCCGGUGGAGCGGUGAAAUGCGUUGAUAUCGGAAGGAACGCCGGUGGCGAAAGCGGCGUACUGGACCUCUUCUGACGCUGAGGCGCGAAAGCUAGGGGAGCAAACGGG
rnacentral:rRNA from 1 species